GGGCACGGUGGGUCACGCCUGUAAUCCCAGCGCACUGGGAGGCAUAGGCAGGCGGACUGCCUGAGGAUGGGAGUUUGAGACCAGCCUGGCCAACAUUGUGAAGCCCCGUCUCUA